UACAGAGGGUGCGAGCGUCGUUCGGAAUUAUUGGGCGUAAAGGGCGCGUAGGCGGUGCGGUAAGUCACCUGUGAAAUCUCCUGGCUCAACUGGGAGCUUGCAGGCGAAACUGCCGUGCUGGAGUGUGGGAGAGGUGCGUGGAAUUCCUGGUGUAGCGGUGAAAUGCGUAGAUAUCAGGAGGAACACCUGUGGCGAAAGCGGCGCACUGGACCACAACUGACGCUGAGGCGCGAAAGCUAGGGGAGCAAACAGG
rnacentral:rRNA from 1 species